rnacentral:piRNA from 1 species
UUUUAUGAUAAUUUAGAUAAU